GCGCAGACUCUUAGGACUACAGCAGCCCAGAGCAGAGUAGCACGGGCACCAGAGCCCUGGCUCCAGGCUAGGUAGCCUCUCAAAUCCUGGCCCCUUUUUGUGAAGUAGAGAGGCUGUUCCGUAGGAAUCCCUUUGCAAGGAGCCUCACGUGGGGUGAGCCGUGUCACUGUCCCAGGAGCACCAUGCCAGGGAGGCUUCCUCUGCUCCAUCUGUUGAGUCCCACAGCUCUGAUCGCUGAACCAAGGCUGACAGAGGACCAGACCGCCGAUUUAAGAACUGUCAGACACAUUGGCUAGAAAGCAGCAAGGCCUGCCAUGCUUGUGACAGCAGAUGCCUGAGCAGGAUGCCUCAGUCCUGGCCUGAUGCUUCCUCUAACAUAAGGACCUCAGUGGGAGUCAUGGACACAACUGUGCCGUGCCUGUGAAGGAUCAAGGCCUGCCUCCUGAGCUGCAGCUCAGGCUGUAUACAACUAAGCUGUAUUCCGAGUGCCAGGCCCCAGGUCGGUGGGCUUCCUUCAUUUUUUGCUACAAUCAUCUUCAGCUGUCUGAAAAGACACACACAACUGAAAAGAUGACAGUAGCUGCUACCGUUGGCAGCGUUCCCUAUAAUCGAUUCUAACCUUAGCCCUUCAACCUAAGUGUAACGAGCUCCACCUCUGUAAGAAGGAAAGAAGCUCAGAAAGGGUACAUCCCUCCAGGACAGGCGAUAGGAAGUCAGGGUGAGAACUCAGCUUUACCAUCCUGAAUGGCUGGCCUAACACAGAGAAGCAUGGCUGAGGGGAAGGCAAGGCUGUGCUGGGGAGAAAGAGAGGAGAGAGCAAGCAGUGGCCACACAAUGGCAGCUACCACAGACAGGGCAUGUGACAGAACAACAGUCAAGAGCAGCCUUCCUACCUUGCCACAACCAAACAGGCCUGCCUGGCAGGUAACCCCCCAUGUGCCUCGGGGCCCCUCACACCAGCUACCCUUUCCCAGCUGCCCCCAGCUUCAGGAGCCACCUUCAAGAGAAGCCCUCCCAAGCACAGGUCAAGCUCCCUGAGCCCACACUCUGAGCACCCUAUGCUCUGUGUUCUACUGCAUUGGGACCCUCGUGGAGCCGGCACUGGGUCUGACUACCCUCUCCCAUCAGAGACCAGACCCUGCAGUGAGGACUCCAGUGACCUAGCCCUGUGAUCUACUCUGUGACCUCCUCUCCUGCCCUUCCGCCGGCAACAUUGCUGCGGCUGGCUCCUUUCUGCUAUGGGACAGGCUUGUGUGUGCCCACCUCCAAGGCACAUGAGGAACUCAGGCUGGGUUGCCAACUCCUGACACAGCUAAGAAGACAAGUGGCUCCACUUGGGAUCCAACGCCUUGACCUCUUCACUACCAUAGUCCACGCCCAAGGGGGAGGCAAAGACAAUAUUGGUGACAAUUAAGAAUAUCAUCCACUUUCAAGCUUGAUAAACAAUGAAUGAGUUCCAUCAGAGGACCAGAUCAUCACCAGUGUAGUGUUGGCUUUAACGGUGCACGCCUUUAAUCCUAGCACUUGGGAGGUGGAAACAGAGACUGUGCAGACAUCAUCUCCAUUUCAGCCACGAGAAAACAGAAGCUCAGAAAAAUGUGUGAAUCCAGAUCUCCUAGCAAGCUGAGAGGCUACAAACACCAAGAGUCUCGGAGAGCUCUAGAGAGAGGAUGUUCUGCACCAACCUAGGUUCUAAUCCUGCUCCUGUGUAACCUGGACAAAGCUUUGAAUUUCUCUGCCUCCACAGUGCAUCAAUAAAACAGUGUGGGGUGGGGUGUACUAGCACACUUUCCAGCCCAGUACUCUGGAGGCAGAGGCGCUAUUCUUAAGUACUGCCUUCUCUGUGGAAUUUGAGGCCAAGCAGAUCUAUAUAGUAUUUCAGACUAGCAACGCACAUAGCGAGACCCUCUAAAAAUGUAAAAUGUUCAUAGGAGAGAUGGCUCAGCACAGUUGAGAGCACUGGCUGUUCUUCCAGAGGACCCAGGUUCAAUUCCUAGGCAAAACACCAAUACACAUAUUGUUUAAUAAUAAUAAUUAUAUAUAUAUAUGCAUGCUGGAAAAAUAACAGCAUUUAAGAGGAUGCCUAGCACCCACACUGUGGAUCACAACUCCAGUAACUCCAGUUCCAGGGUAUUGGAAGCCCUCUUCUGAAUUCUUGGGGAACCCGGCAUAUAUCAGGCAACAUGCCCAGGCACAUAAAAUUUAAAAAAAAUAAAAAUGUAAUAAAAGCAAGGGCAGAAAUAUCUACUUCUUAAGGAUGAUCAAUAAGUCACCAUUGACAACCACAGUGUAAAGGCCUCUCAGUCCCAAGGUGUGACUUAAGUUAACCUGGCUGUGGAGCAACCUGAGGCAGGCAUACACCACCAUUUGGAGCUAAAGGACCUUUACCGCACUUCUGUUCAACCCGAAGCCCUGAGGGCACGAGAUCCCGUACCAACCUCAAGGUCUC